rnacentral:rRNA from 1 species
GUCUUUUUGAGUAUAAUUUAAAGUCUAAUCUGCCCACUGAUUUUUUAAAGGCCGCAGUAUUUUGACUGUGCAAAGGUAGCAUAAUAAUUAGUUUUUUAAUUGAAAGCUGGAAUGAAUGAUUUGAUGAAAAAAAUACUGUCUCUUUUUUAUUUUAUAUAAUUUUAUUUUUAAGUCAAAAAGCUUAAAUUUUAUUAAAAGACGAGAAGACCCUAUAGAGUUUUAUAUAUGAUAUUUUGUUGUCGUUAUUUUAUUAUUAAAAUUGAAAUAUAUUUUGUUGGGGUGAUAGAUAAGUUUAUUAAACCUUUUUUUUAUUUUAACUAUUAUUAUAGAUUAUUUGAUCCUUUUUAAGAUUAUAAGAUUAAAUUACCUUAGGGAUAACAGCGUAAUUUUUCUGGGGAGUUCAUAUCUAUAGAAAAGUUUGCGACCUCGAUGUUGGAUUAAGAUUUUAUUUAAAUGUAGAAGUUUAAAUUUUAAGUCUGUUCGACUUUUAAUAAUCUUACAUGAUC